CGGGAGAAGGGAAGCCACCUGCUGCAGCCUGGAGGCUGGAGCCUGCGGCACUGCGACUCGCCUCGCCGCGCUACAGUUGGUGGUGGCGACAGAGACUGCAGUGUCGCGGAAGCGGUAGGAGGGCCACCCACAGCGGGAGCUGCUCCUGUCCGGCUAGACGACGAGAAAGGGGAGCCAUCUGCGGCACGUUGGAAGCUGGGGCCUGUGACAUCGCACCUCGCCUGGCUGCGGUUGGUGGCGGAGAAGGAGACUGCUGCGCAGCUGGAGUGGCGAAGUCUGGACACAGACCCAGGCACACAGGGAGGAUGCCACGUGCUGACUGGAGUGAUGCUGCCACACACCAAGGAACCACCAGAAGUGGAGGGAGGCCUGGACAGAUCCUUCCGCAGAGCACAGCCCUGCUGACAUUUUGAUCUCAACUUCUGGCCUUCAGAACUGUGAGACAAUAAAUUUCUGUUGUUUAAGCCAUUUAGUUUGUGAUAUUUUGUUAUGGCAACCCCAGCAGACUAAUAUAGUUGUCAAUAAGCUAUUCUCUAGAAUAGCCUUUGAUAAUGUUAUAAGGGACUUUACAUAGUCUUUAAUAAAUAACAGG
rnacentral:lncRNA from 1 species